AACCUGGUUGAUCCUGCCAGUAGUCAUAUGCUUGUUUCAAGGACUAAGCCAUGCAAGUCUCAGAGUAAAUGGAUUACAGUAGGUCUGCAGACAGCUCAUUAAACCAGCUUGAAUCUACGCCGAGAUACUGCCUUACGGCAGACUAUUGGAUAACUUUGGUAACCCCAAAGCUAAUACAUGUCAGCAAAACCCGCACAGGUCCAACCUGGGGACCUAGUUCCUGGGCUGUGUUGGGUGCAAUUGACUGAAACAAAAACCAACGCUAGCAAUAGCAGCGGUGAUUGGAUGACUCAGGUCAAUCGAGUAGUAGCGCAUACUUCGGUGGCGCUUGUCGGCAUGACAAUCUGCCCUAUCAGCUUUUGACGGUAGUGUAGUGGACUACCGUGGCAGUAACGGGUAACGGGGAAUUAGGGUUCGAUUCCGGAGAGGGAGCCUGAGAAACGGCUACCACAACUAAGGUUGGCAGCAGGCGCGCAAAUUGCCCAAUAGCAACACAUCGCUGAGGCAGCGAAGAGAAAUAGCAACUUCAUGCGGCCCUGCCGUGUGAAGAUUGCCAUGGACGAUAUUUAAAACUGUCGGUGAGUAUCAAUUGGUGGACAAGUCUGGUGCCAGCACCCGCGGUAAUUCCAGCACCAAUAGC
rnacentral:rRNA from 1 species